UGAUAGUGGCUCGAGGUGUCCAUAAACUGUGAGCUCUGUACUUUGGCGGCGGACGGGUGAGUAACACGUGGGCAACCUGCCUGUAAGACUGGGAUAACUUCGGGAAACCGAAGCUAAUACCGGAUAGGAUCUUCUCCUUCAUGGGAGAUGAUUGAAAGAUGGUUUCGGCUAUCACUUACAGAUGGGCCCGCGGUGCAUUAGCUAGUUGGUGAGGUAACGGCUCACCAAGGCAACGAUGCAUAGCCGACCUGAGAGGGUGAUCGGCCACACUGGGACUGAGACACGGCCCAGACUCCUACGGGAGGCAGCAGUAGGGAAUCUUCCGCAAUGGACGAAAGUCUGACGGAGCAACGCCGCGUGAGUGAUGAAGGCUUUCGGGUCGUAAAACUCUGUUGUUAGGGAAGAACAAGUACAAGAGUAACUGCUUGUACCUUGACGGUACCUAACCAGAAAGCCACGGCUAACUACGUGCCAGCAGCCGCGGUAAUACGUAGGUGGCAAGCGUUAUCCGGAAUUAUUGGGCGUAAAGCGCGCGCAGGCGGUUUCUUAAGUCUGAUGUGAAAGCCCACGGCUCAACCGUGGAGGGUCAUUGGAAACUGGGGAACUUGAGUGCAGAAGAGAAAAGCGGAAUUCCACGUGUAGCGGUGAAAUGCGUAGAGAUGUGGAGGAACACCAGUGGCGAAGGCGGCUUUUUGGUCUGUAACUGACGCUGAGGCGCGAAAGCGUGGGGAGCAACAGGAUUAGAUACCCUGGUAGUCCACGCCGUAAACGAUGAGUGCUAAGUGUUAGAGGGUUUCCGCCCUUUAGUGCUGCAGCUAACGCAUUAAGCACUCCGCCUGGGGAGUACGGUCGCAAGACUGAAACUCAAAGGAAUUGACGGGGGCCCGCACAAGCGGUGGAGCAUGUGGUUUAAUUCGAAGCAACGCGGAAGAACCUUACCGAGGUCUUGACAUCCUCUGACAACUCUAGAGAUAGAGCGUUCCCCUUU
rnacentral:rRNA from 2 species